AGAUGCACCUAUAUUCCAGGUGAUCUCUCUCUUUCUCUCUCUCUCUGUGUACUGUCUCUCUUUCUACUUUUAAUUACUUGAGAUCUGCGUGUAUCCUUUUCUUCUUAUGAUGCUAUUGAUUUUUCUGUUUUGUCCUUUGUUUGGAUCUAUAAUGGUCCAAGCAUUUUCCAGUAACUUUUAUGUCUAUUUUUUAAUUUUAUUUUAUAGUUUAAUAAAGUUCUAUUAUUUUGAUUCCCUCUAUCUCAGAAAUGGCUAAACCUUAAUUUACUUAGCUUUCACUUCUUUUUAGAUCUUAAACAAUUUUAGAUUGUGAUUUUUCACUUCAGAGAGAUAUUGGCUUCUCUCUCUCUCUCUCUUUUAAUUGAAGAAAGAAAACCUAUUUGUGUUGGAUUGAAGAGAGUAUGUAUAUGGGUUUUGAACUUUUAAUGUUGUUGUUGAAAGUUGGAAUUGGAUUCUUCUGCUUUGGAUUUCGCGGUUUUCAACUGGUUUCAGGUGUUUUUUAGCUGGAUUUAUUGUGUGGGUUUAUGAGAAAUAGAUUUUUGGGAUUCCAUGUGACAUUUGCUUGCUGGGAUCCGGAUUAUGUGAGCCAACUUUAGUUUUGCUUAUUAAAAUCAUAAUCCAAAUUUGAAUGUAUGUUUCUUCAUGCCUUUAAUUUCACUGAAAAUUUAAAUUA
rnacentral:misc_RNA from 1 species